rnacentral:rRNA from 1 species
AUGCUAAGUGUCAUGGAACAUGGAGAAAAGCUCUCUGGAAUGAUCCAUCUGAGAGAAUUACAAAAUGCGCUUAGCCAGCAGAGUUCAAGCACACGUUUAUCACCUCAGUCCAAAACCCCAACUGCUGGUGCACUGUGGAAUCUCAUUCAGCUGGUUGGUGAGAAAGCUCGACGGAACACUGUUCUAUUAAUGGAUCGUGAUAAUGCUGAAGUUUUCUACAGUAGAGUUUCUGAUAUAGAGGAUCUAUUUUAUUGUUUGUCGCAUCAACUUCGGUAUAUUAUAACCGGAGAAGAACACCCAUCUGUUCAGAUGCAACGUGCACUUGAGUUAUCAAAUGCUUGUGUGACCUUAGUUCAGGCAGCAUUGCACUACAGAGCGGAGUACAAGGACUGGUAUCCUUCUCCUGAAGGACUGAUAACAUGGAACAGUCAGCCUGUAGUGCGGUCUGGAAUCUGGAAUCUGGCAUCAUCUGUGAUGGAGCUUUUGAGAGAACCAGGAUCUGCAGGCAUGCCAAUGAAAUCUAAUCUAUGGUCUCAGCUGGAAGGACUCACACAUAUACUGCUGGAGGGAUAUAUUGGUCUAUUAACUGCCAAAUUUGAACGCGGGGAGGACCAUGGUGUGCUAGCCCAAGAAUACUGUGAACGGAGAGAUGAGCUUCUUGGAUCCCUUUAUGAUCUUGCAAAGCAAAUUAUAGAAGCAAAAUAUCAGGAGUCAAGUGAAGGCAAUGACAAUCCUGAUCUGAAAGAAUCUAUAUUUAGAGAGGUCACUUCUCCUAUUUUGGCAACAGCUAAACGGCAUGAAGGGUACCAAACGUUGUGGCAGAUUUGCUAUGAUAUCAGUGAUACUGUUCUCCUCCGCAAUCUUAUGCAUGAUAGUAUAGGACCUCACGGGGGAUUCAGUUUCUACGUUUUUAAACAGCUAAUCAGCAGCGGGCAUUACGCUAAGCUGUUAAGGCUGGGAGAAGAAUUCCAGGAAGAGCUGGCUAAUUUUCUGAAAGACCGUAGCGAUCUUUUAUGGCUUCACGAGAUAUGCUUAAAUCAGUUCUCAACUGCUUCAGAGACUCUUCAUACCUGUGCUCUGCUUUCAAGUCCUGGAGAAGAUGCUGACCUAACAAGCACCAGAAAGUCGCUGUCCUUUGUUGAAAGAAGACGUCUUCUCUAUCUCUCUAAAAUGGCUGCAACAGCAGGUAAGGAUGUUGAUUAUGAAGUGAAGGUUGCACAGAUAGAUGCUGAUAUCCGGAUUCUAAAUCUUCAGGAAGAGAUUGUUCAGCAUGAUCCAGAAUAUGCACAGGGCAAACAUGCAAGCAAGCUUCUUCCGCCAUCAGAACUGAUCGAGAUGUGCAUGAAGAGAGGCCGCGAGCUUUCUCUCAAAGCCUUCGAAGUAUUUGCUUGGAUAGGCUCCUCAUUCCGAAGCUCCAACAAAGGCCUUCUAGAGGCUUGCUGGACGAACACAGCCGACCAGGAUGACUGGGUCGAGCUCUCACAGGCAUCAGUUUCAGAAGGCUGGAGCGACGAGGUCAUCCAAGAAUCUCUCCAAGGAACGGUCCUCUUCAACGCUUCGAGGCUGUGCUACAGCUCGGACGCGGAGGUGUUCGACGGCACGUUCGAGGAGGUGCUCCCCGUGAGGAAAGAGGACGUGCAAGCGAGAGGCCUGGAGGCCAAGUGCUUCUCGGUGGAGGAGGUGCUGAUGCAGCACGACGCUUUUCCGGACGCCGGUAAGCUGAUGAUGACGGCGGUGGUCAUGGGCAAGGAGCUAUCCUAUGCUGCCCCGGCAGAUGAGCCUGUGGACAUGGACUCGUGA